GGACAGAUGAGACACACGUGAUUAUCUGAUGAAGAGAGACUGAUGAAGGAAUGAUGCCAUCAAAGUCUCUCAUACAUUUGAUGCAGAUCUGUUGUGUUGACAGCAGCAUCUGUGGAAAAAAACCUGAAACCAAAAUAUUAAGACCUCAAUCCCUCUGGAGCACCUGGAGUAAAGACACAUGGUGGAGAUUGAUCCAGCAACCUUCUGCUGACCAGUCCACUUCAUUACACCAUAGAAGUAGUGGUGCUCAUGGUGAGAAGACACAGAUGUUUGGAGCAGACACAGCAGCAGUCAGAUUGUCCCACACAUGUUCUCCUGCUCUUGUUCAGGGUUGUGUGGCUCAGGGUCUUCAUCAUGGUCUUCCUCAUCCUCUCUGUGCACUCAGACAAGUACAGUCUCGAUGUCCCUCCCUCAUCCAUGAACAGAUUCAGUCUGAUUGCAGCAGUGAGGGUCGUGAUGGAAGGAUGUUCACCAUCUGUAAACUAAAAAACAGAACAAUGUUUGAAUAAAGCUUUGUUUCAUCUGUUGUUGACUUGUAUUUAUUUAUUGUGACGGUUACUUUUAUUUAUUAUUUUAAUUGUUUAUUCAUGUCUCCUGUUGUUGUCAGUAAAUAAAAUAUAGCCUAAUUGUUUCAUUAACACAUGCAUUCAUUCAUUACUUGACUGAAUGUUUAGAUGUAUUUAUCUGCAUUUGUCUUGUUUGAACUCAUGCAUAGCUCUGGCAUUAGAAAAAAAAAACUAAUUAAAAUUUGUUUGUUUUACAAAAAAUACAUAAUUAUUAGUCACCAUUUAUAAUUAUUAUUGUUGAUAAGUGUUGGGGUGGGCUAGAAUUGCUUUCUGAGGUAAUCUUAAUUCUUAAGUAGUAAUACUUACAUUUUUAAAAUGUAAAAUCAACAAUCUUCUCCUAAGGCGAGAUCUAAGGUCUCCUUUGUGCAGAUAUUACAAAUAUUGCAAACGCUGAGGAAACCCGUACUAGGUAUGGUUGUGCAGUUACUGAUGCUAUGAGGUGUUUAAUAAGGAUUAAACUGCGGGUCAUUUCAAGAAAGUUAAAAUAUAAAAACAAUGCAAAAUGUAUUGGUUAAACUACAAUAACAAUAAAAUGGCAUCUGUGUAUUCAACAAGAAUUUUAUUAUUAUUUUUUUUUUUAUUGAAUACAAAAUUAUACAUACAACCAAGGCAACUGCAUUCCUACUACAGGACAUAAAG
rnacentral:lncRNA from 1 species